AUUGAACGCUGGCGGCAUGCUUUACACAUGCAAGUCGAACGGCAGCGGGGUAGUGCUUGCACUACUGUCCGGCGAGUGGCGAACGGGUGAGUAAUAUAUCGGAACGUACCGAGUAAUGGGGGAUAACCAAUCGAAAGAUUGGCUAAUACCGCAUACGUCCUAAGGGAGAAAGCGGGGGAUCGCAAGACCUCGCGUUAUUCGAGCGGCCGAUAACUGAUUAGCUAGUUGGUGGGGUAAAGGCCUACCAAGGCGACGAUCAGUAGCGGGUCUGAGAGGACGAUCCGCCACACUGGGACUGAGACACGGCCCAGACUCCUACGGGAGGCAGCAGUGGGGAAUUUUGGACAAUGGGGGCAACCCUGAUCCAGCCAUGCCGCGUGUAUGAAGAAGGCCUUCGGGUUGUAAAGUACUUUUGUUAGGGAAGAAAAGGGAAGUGCUAAUAC
rnacentral:rRNA from 1 species